rnacentral:ncRNA from 18 species
AGCAGAGUAGAACUCUGUGCGUUAAGUGCCAUGUGAACAGGGAGUUGUCACACGGACGAAAAACAAAAGCGCUGCUUUUGUUUGCGGUACAGAAUUCGCAUCCCGCUGCU